CAGGUCAGCCGAGAUCUCCGGGGUAAAUAUAGGUGGUGUCGCGGCAGAGACACAGCCCGUGUAUGUCAACAUACCCUUCAGGGCCGGCACAGCUCUGCAGCAACGGAGCCAUGAUGGGCAGGUCCAGCCAGUGACCCACACCCAGCCGGCGUGGCCGAACAACCCUGGAGGGAAGCCUGUAAUUGCUCGAAAUCCCCAGAAAAGGGGCAAGAGAGAAGAGGAUGCAGAUGCCAGGGUAGAGCGCAA